rnacentral:rRNA from 1 species
AUUGAACGCUGGCGGCAGGCCUAACACAUGCAAGUCGAGCGAGCGGCGGACGGGUGAGUAAUGUCUGGGAAACUGCCUGAUGGAGGGGGAUAACUACUGGAAACGGUAGCUAAUACCGCAUACCAUCAGAUGUGCCCAGAUGGGAUUAGCUAGUAGGUGGGGUAACGGCUAACAUAGGCGACGAUCCCUAGCUGUUCUGAGAGGAUGACCAGCCACACUGGAACUGAGCAACGGUCCAGACUCCUACGGGAGGCAGCAGUGGGGAAUAUUGCACAAUGGGCGCAGGCCUGAUGCAGCCCUGCCGCGUGUGUGAAGAAGGCCUUCGGGUUGUAAAGCACUUUCAGCGGGGAGGCGUUACCCGCAGAAGAAGCACCGGCUAACUCCGUGCCAGCAGCCGCGGUAAUAC